rnacentral:rRNA from 1 species
CAGAGGGUGCGAGCGUUGUUCGGAAUUACUGGGCGUAAAGCGCGCGCAGGCGGGUCCUGUAAGUCGGAAGUGAAAUUUCGGAGCUCAACUCCGAAGCUGCUUCUGAUACUGCGGAUCUAGGGACUGGUAGAGGCUGGUAGAAUUACAGGUGUAGCGGUGGAAUGCGUAGAUAUCUGUAAGAAUACCCGUGGCGAAGGCGGCCAGCUGGGCCAGGUCCGACGCUGAGGCGCGAAAGCGUGGGGAGCAAACAGGAUUAGAUACCCUGGUAGUCCACGCCGUAAACGAUGGGCACUAGGUGCCGGGGGGAGCGGACCCCUUCGGUGCCGCAGCUAACGCGAUAAGUGCCCCGCCUGGGGAGUACGGCCGCAAGGCUG